UGCUGAUGGAGAGAAAAAUUACUUCCUUCACAGCCUGUGCCCUGCAACUCAGUUGUGCUAUACUUCUUGUCACUUGUGAGUGUUUCGUCUUAGGUGUAAUGGCUUAGGAUCGGCAAGUGGCAAUAUGCCAGCCUCUGCAUUAACUCACCACGAUGAACAGGGAUCUCUGCUUCAAGAUGGCUGUUGGGUCUUGGCUUACUGGUGUACCUGUUGUUCUGGUCUUCACCACAUGGUUGUUUACCUUACCCUUCUAUGGGACAAACAACAUAGAUCAUUUCUUUUGUGAUGUUUCUCCUGUGUUGAAGCUGAUAACCUCAGCUCUGGGCCAGAGGCAGGUCUUUUCCACCCGUGCAGCUCACCUGUUGGUAGUAACUCUUCUACAGCACAGCUGGCAUCAUUCACCUGCGACCUAAAUCCAGCCUCUCACCCAAUAUGAAGAAAAUGGUUGCCCUGUCUUACACAGUUGUCACCCCCAUGCUUAACCCCAUCAUCUACAGCUUGGGGAAUCAGAAAGUUAAGCAAAGCCUGAGAAGAUGCAUUGACAAAAGGCUGCUUAGGAAGCAAACAGCCAUCUUUUCUCCGUCCAAGAAGUGUGAACAAAAAGGAAUAGUUCAUCAUCUACUCAUAGCCAAGCCCCAACAGGCAAGGCAGUCCUUCUCCCUUAACUGUGAUCACAGAGAACACAGCUGCACAGCAUAAUGCCACCCACAUAGUCUCUUUUCAGCUCCUCUUCUUUCCAC
rnacentral:lncRNA from 1 species